rnacentral:misc_RNA from 1 species
GUUGGGACACCAGAAGAAUAUUGAGAUGGCCAUAGCAUCUGAAGAAAGUGCUGGCUUUCCCGUUACAGCUCAGUUUUCUUGCAUUUCCAUUUGUGCAUUCUCCAAACAAGAAAAUGAUAGUCUUGAAUCUGAAGAAAGAUCAAAGUCGGUGACAAAACUUUCUGGACUUAUAAUAUUUUAUUUAAUAGUCAUGGCAGUAGAAAUCAUCGGU